rnacentral:rRNA from 1 species
GAUGAACGCUGGCGGCGUGCCUAAUACAUGCCAGUCGAGCGAACAGAUAAGGAGCUUGCUCCUUUGACGUUAGCGGCGGACGGGUGAGUAACACGUGGGUAACCUACCUAUAAGACUGGAAUAACUCCGGGAAACCGGGGCUAAUGCCGGAUAACAUUUAGAACCGCAUGGUUCUAAAGUGAAAGAUGGUUUUGCUAUCACUUAUAGAUGGACCCGCGCCGUAUUAGCUAGUUGGUAAGGUAACGGCUUACCAAGGCAACGAUACGUAGCCGACCUGAGAGGGUGAUCGGCCACACUGGAACUGAGACACGGUCCAGACUCCUACGGGAGGCAGCAGUAGGGAAUCUUCCGCAAUGGGCGAAAGCCUGACGGAGCAACGCCGCGUGAGUGAUGAAGGUCUUCGGAUCGUAAAACUCUGUUAUUAGGGAAGAACAAAUGUGUAAGUAACUGUGCACGUCUUGACGGUACCUAAUCAGAAAGCCACGGCUAACUACAUG